rnacentral:rRNA from 1 species
AACAGGAUUAGAUACCCUGGUAGUCCACGCCGUAAACGUUGGGCGCUAGGUGUGGGGAACCUUCCACGUUCUCCGUGCCGCAGCUAACGCAUUAAGCGCCCCGCCUGGGGAGUACGGCCGCAAGGCUAAAACUCAAAGGAAUUGACGGGGGCCCGCACAAGCGGCGGAGCAUGUGGCUUAAUUCGACGCAACGCGAAGAACCUUACCAAGGCUUGACAUAUACCGAAAACUCAUAGAGAUAUGGGGUCCGCAAGGGCGGUAUACAGGUGGUGCAUGGUUGUCGUCAGCUCGUGUCGUGAGAUGUUGGGUUAAGUCCCGCAACGAGCGCAACCCUCGUCCUAUGUUGCCAGCGAGUAAUGUCGGGGACUCAUAGGAGACUGCCGGGGUCAACUCGGAGGAAGGUGGGGAUGACGUCAAAUCAUCAUGCCCCUUAUGUCUUGGGCUGCACACAUGCUACAAUGGCCGGUACAAAGGGCUGCAAUACCGCAAGGUGGAGCUAAUCCCAAAAAGCCGGUCUCAGUUCGGAUUGGGGUCUGCAACUCGACCCCAUGAAGUCGGAGUCGCCAGUAAUCGCAGAUCAGCAACGCUGCGGUGAAUACGUUCCCGGGCCUUGUACACACCGCCCGUCACGUCACGAAAGUCGGCAACACCCGAAGCCAGUGGCCCAACCGUUUACGGAGGGAGCUGUCGAAGGUGGGGUUGGCGAUUGGGACGAAGUCGUAACAAGGUAACC